rnacentral:rRNA from 1 species
UUGACCUCAAAUCAGGUGGGACUACCCGCUGAACUUAAGCAUAUCAAUAAGCGGAGGAAAAGAAACUAACAAGGAUUCCCUUAGUAACUGCGAGUGAAGCGGGAAGAGCUCAAAUUUGAAAUCUGGCAGUCUCUGGCUGUCCGAGUUGUAAUCUAGAGAAGUGUUGCCCGCGCUGGACCGUGUACAAGUCUCCUGGGGUGGAGCGUCAUAGAGGGUGAGAAUCCCGUCUCUGACAUGGACUACCAGGGCUUUUGUGGUGCGCUCUCAAAGAGUCGAGUUGUUUGGGAAUGCAGCUCAAAAUGGGUGGUAAAUUCCAUCUAAAGCUAAAUAUUGGCGAGAGACCGAUAGUGAACAAGUACCGUGAGGAAAGAUGAAAAGAACUUUGGAAAGAGAGUUAAACAGUACGUGAAAUUGCUGAAAGGGAAACGCUUGAAGUCAGUCGCGUUGGCCAGGGAUCAGCCUUGCUUCUUAGUGUGGUGUACUUCCUGGUUGACGGGUCAGCAUCGGUUUCGACUGCUGGAGAAAGGCUUGGGGAAUGUG